GUACUCUUGUCUUCCCCUAAACCCCCACCUCUAACUUGUAUCCCUCCCUCAAAGACAUCUUUCCCAAUUACCACUCUUAUAGAAUGAGCUAACUCUUAGACCAUUUGUUUAGUCAUUUUCCUCUCCCUCUUCAUUUCACCUCUGAAUGUUCAGAAUUUGGAAGAGCAUACUGUACAAUGUAGAGACUCAACUAGGUUCAGAUGUAUAUUUUGAAACUUUAGAUGAACAAAUUAAAUUUAGCAAUCAUUGUAAUGAUUUGCAAAUUAAAACUAAAGAUCAAAGUAGACAAUAAGGUCACAGUAUACUGUGCAGAUGCUAUUCCAUAUGCCUACUGUACUAAAAUAAUGAC
rnacentral:lncRNA from 1 species